AGCAAAUAAAAGAUAAUCAAAAUCCCGCUCACUUCUAAAAAAUUUUUUGAUUACCCGCUCAUUACUCCCUCUUCUUCUCAUCUCCGUCGUGCGCCCUAAAUCCCCCAAAUAAAAGUUUGUUUUUCUUCAGCUGAAAUCCCCCAAAUUUCCCAUUUCCAACAACAGACUUGAAGGAAGAAAACCAAAAGAUGGGAUGGAAUCACCCAGACAUAUCGCUGGAAGAAAUGAUGAAACUGAUAGAAGGGUUUGUUGAUAUCCUAGUUUUUUGUUUUGUUUUAUUUUUUUAAUUUUAUUUACUUUUGGGACUUUUUAAGGAAUGACAAGAAAAAAGAAUCUGGCGAUGACAAGUUCGACAAACCCAUAUCAGAGACUAGGGUUUCAAGGGAAGAAUGUGGUUCAAAUGGGAGAAAUCUAAAUAAGAAGAGAAGUUAUGCACAGUUUCAUUUAGAGUUAGGUCAAUCUGAUUUUCUUCUCCAUGCCUGUCAGUCGACUAAGCGGAGCGGCAUAUUCCAUCUCAUCGAGGUUUUUGUGGUGGCAUCCGUUGGUUUCUAAUACUGCUCGACUCCUCUGUUUUUCCAUGUUCGGCACCGGAAAAUCUCCCCCUGGCAUAAACGAUCAGUCAAAUGGAAGCAGAUUCCUAAAGAUUUCAAAAUCUUAUACACAGUGAAUAAAAUGAAUCAAUGGUGGGCAAUGGAGGGGCCUGCUUUUAUUUGAAAGGAGAUAUAAUUCAGAAAGGUAGGCUGGAGAAAAGGAAGAAUUGUGAUGGUUUGGUAAUAGCAUGCAAGCUUUGGAUAAUUUGCUUUGCAUGCAAAGGUUGGUUUGGAUAUUGAUAAAGGAACGUAUUACCUGUCUACAUCCUUUUGAUGUUAAAUGUUAAUGCAGUGUAAGCAUUUUUAAGAAGGAUUCUUUCCUGAAAAGCAAAUAAGGUUUGAGAAGAAUCUUCUUUUGUUAAGAUAAAAAUGAUUCUACUUUAUUUUUGUUGGUAUAUUUUCAGCUUACAAAGAAAGCUUCUCCGAUAUAAAGAAAUACAGUAACUCGUCCUUAUGUGAAGCGGCUGGAAUUGAACCAGAAUGAUUGAAGUUUAAAUAUUUAAUUUUGAAUUUCAAACAGAAUCAAAAUCCUCAUUUAUAUAAUUAUCUUAUAAGUAUUUUGUAAUAUCUGGAUUUUGUUACUAUGCUUGUCAUCUUAUGUUAUAUCUAUUUUUUCCUUUGAAGGCCCUUGCUGACAAAGAGAGCAUUCAAGCUAGAUCUGAUUUGUUUGCCUACAAUAUUCUGCCACUUGAUCAUGGAGGUAUUCAGCAAGCAAUUAUGAAAUUUCUUGAGGAAUUAGUGGUGCACCUCAAGAUAACAACAUUAUGCUUUGGAAUGCUGUUAUAUUUGGACUUGAUGACACCCCAUGGGAUGGAGGUAAAGUAAAUUCUGGUGUUUUGGUUUGAAGCAUCAAUUUUUCUAUGUUCGUUUAGUUGAUUUGUUUGAUUUUCUCUUUAGAAGGUUGCUAUGCUCAAUAUAUGUUGAUGUAAUCUAUUUAAAAUUUCUGAGCGGUUUUAAAAUUUAUUUUGAUUAUUAUGUGAGGUUAGGCAACAAGGUGAAUAAUAUCGAUGAUUAUUACUUUGAUUAUUUAUGGUGCGAAGAUUAUAAGUAUAUCAAGGUGAUCUUUUCUGAUUGUCGUGAAACUUCUGCAUCUCAGCCGAGGUUAGUCUCAAUUGAUCUCAAUUCUCAUUGUUCCACUAUUAGCUAAAACAAUAAGCUCGUUGAUUUUCUGACUUUCUUAAUAGAUUAGUUGUUUCAUGUUUGGAAACUUUUGAUGCUCUUGGUCUUAUGUCCUGUACUCAUUGAAAAAAUUUUGGUUCUCAUUCUUCACUUAACAAGUCCAGUGGCACAUACAUAUGUAAACUAGGAAUUCAUUGGUUUCAUUGCUGUAAUCUCUCUUAUUCAAUAUCUAAUUCAUUUCCACGGUUGA